rnacentral:rRNA from 1 species
UGGGGAAUUUUGGACAAUGGGCGAAAGCCUGAUCCAGCAAUGCCGCGUGUGUGAAGAAGGCCUUCGGGUUGUAAAGCACUUUUGUCCGGAAAGAAAUCCUCUGGGUUAAUACCUCGGGGGGAUGACGGUACCGGAAGAAUAAGCACCGGCUAACUACGUGCCAGCAGCCGCGGUAAUACGUAGGGUGCAAGCGUUAAUCGGAAUUACUGGGCGUAAAGCGUGCGCAGGCGGUUUUGUAAGACGGAUGUGAAAUCCCCGGGCUUAACCUGGGAACUGCAUUCGUGACUGCAAGGCUAGAGUAUGGCAGAGGGGGGUAGAAUUCCACGUGUAGCAGUGAAAUGCGUAGAGAUGUGGAGGAAUACCGAUGGCGAAGGCAGCCCCCUGGGCCAAUACUGACGCUCAUGCACGAAAGCGUGGGGAGCAAACAGGAUUAGAUACCCUGGUAGUCCACGCCCUAAACGAUGUCAACUAGUUGUUGGGGAUUCAUUUCCUUAGUAACGUAGCUAACGCGUGGAAGUUGACCGCCUGGGGAGUACGGUCGCAAGAUUAAACUCAAAGGAAUUGACGGGGUCAUAGCUGUUUCC